ACCCUUUUCUACAGCUUUUACUGCGGACAAUGGCCUCAAUUAACGGUAAGCGUGCCUAAACUAUAUUGGAUAACAUUGCUCUCUAGAUACUUAAUUUUUCUCAGAAAAAACAUUCUAAAAACAACAACUACAAAAAAAAAAAAAAAAGUAUUUCUCAUUAGGUACAGCUGCUGACGAUUCCGGAGUUGAAAACCGUGCCCCUGCACCCCGCUGCAGCAGCCGUAAGUUAACAUAUCAUUUCGUAGUGUGCGUGCUUGUGUGUGAUUACUUAUUUUCAUUAUUACUGUUAUUAAAUUCUAAAUCUAACGAAUGUAUUUUCGUUUUAAAUCUUGAUCUAAUGAAUGUAUUUUAUUAUUAUUAUUUUAAAGAGUGUGUUACUAAGCUAAAUAAAUGGUAUUACUUUCCAGCUGCAGCACAAAGACGCUCACUUUCGUUGAAAAGGCGCAGAACAGACCCUCCAGCCUCUGCUGCUGCUAGAGAUUUUAUACCUGCACAGCGCAGGCCACUGAGACCCCUCAAUCAGUUUUCUAGCGGGUUUAACACUGCCUGGGCGAUUCACCAGGACUACCCGGCUGAAAAUUUCCAGAGGGUUACAC